UAGGGAAUCUUCGGCAAUGGGGGGAACCCUGACCGAGCAACGCCGCGUGAGUGAAGAAGGUUUUCGGAUCGUAAAGCUCUGUUGUUAAGGAAGAACGAGUGUGAGAAUGGAAAGUUCAUACUGUGACGGUACUUAACCAGAAAGGGACGGCUAACUACGUGCCAGCAGCCGCGGUAAUACGUAGGUCCCGAGCGUUGUCCGGAUUUAUUGGGCGUAAAGCGAGCGCAGGCGGUUAGAAAAGUCUGAAGUGAAAGGCAGUGGCUUAACCAUUGUAGGCUUUGGAAACUGUUUAACUUGAGUGCAGAAGGGGAGAGUGGAAUUCCAUGUGUAGCGGUGAAAUGCGUAGAUAUAUGGAGGAACACCGGUGGCGAAAGCGGCUCUCUGGUCUGUAACUGACGCUGAGGCUCGAAAGCGUGGGGAGCGAACAGGAUUAGAUACCCUGGUAGUCCACGCCGUAAACGAUGAGUGCUAGGUGUUAGGUCCUUUCCGGGACUUAGUGCCGCAGCUAACGCAUUAAGCACUCCGCCUGGGGAGUACGACCGCAAGGUUG
rnacentral:rRNA from 1 species